GUCGAGAAUUUUUCACAAUGGGCGAAAGCCUGAUGGAGCGACGCCGCGUGGGGGAUGAAUGGCUUCGGCCCGUAAACCCCUGUCAUUUGCGAACAAACCCGGCUAUUUAAUAGAUAGUCAGUUGAUAGUAGCGAAAGAGGAAGGGACGGCUAACUCUGUGCCAGCAGCCGCGGUAAUACAGAGGUCCCAAGCGUUGUUCGGAUUCACUGGGCGUAAAGGGUGCGUAGGCGGUCUGGUAAGUCUGAUGUGAAAUCUCCAAGCUCAACUUGGAAACGGCAUCAGAUACUAUCUGGCUAGAGGAAUGGAGGGGAGACUGGAAUACUUGGUGUAGCAGUGAAAUGCGUAGAUAUCAAGUGGAACACCAGUGGCGAAGGCGAGUCUCUGGACAUUUCCUGACGCUGAGGCACGAAAGCCAGGGGAGCAAACGGGAUUAGAUACCCUUGUAGUCC
rnacentral:rRNA from 1 species